rnacentral:lncRNA from 1 species
GCAGAACCUGUGGCAGCCGCUGUACACAGCAGACUACCACAGCAGCACCACAAGUGUCCAGGGCGCGAGCCUGCAAGAGCCGGCGCCGCUGCCUUACACCGAUCCGCAGCCGCCGGCCCCCGCUCCUAUUGAUCAACCAUCUGUCAAGGUAUCGACCCUUAGGCUUAGCAAAGUUGGAUUCAGGGUUUGAAUUUGGGAUUUGGGGAAGGGGCCCUUCCAGUGAUAAUUUUUUGAAGGAGAAUGCAGGGGUUAUAUUAGAGUAUAUAAGCAUAUUACCCAUUGAAGGGGAUCAAGUGUUGACAUCUUUAUCGAUGGUUGUCCUAUAGGAGCUGCCGCCACCGGCCGCAGAAGUGAACGCCCCCGGAUCAGCGCCCUCUGUGGAUCCUGGGCAGACCACAACGGCCCCGGCACCCUCCGCUGUCGCCGCUGUUGCCUUCUUUGGCAGCCUGCAGCCCGGCCCGGUAAGUCAUCUUAUUUGCAUUUUCAAAUUUGAAUUCAAAUGGCAUUCCUUUUCUAAUGCUGCAUAAUUUGCGUGCGGGGUCUGCCUUGCUUCAAGGAGAGGUUGAUGACAUGAAGGAGAUCAAGUCGCCUUUAAUUAAGAUAUUAACUUUCCCCUGCACCUCACUCACUACUGCAAAUAUUACAUGCAGGGUCUGCCCUGCUUCAAGGAGACUUUGAUGGCCUGAAUGUGUGUCCGGUGGUUUUCAGCCUUGAAAAUGAUCCUUGGCAUGCAGGUGGCGGGUGCAGCAGCUGCCUCUUGGAGCCGUACUGGCAUUGCUGGCCUGACCACAGGCAUUGCAGUAGCCCUCCUGCUGCUGUUAGG